CAAUAGCGUAUAUUUAAGUUGCUGCAGUUAAAAAGCUCGUAGUUGGAUUUCGGGUGGGAAUGGCCGGUCCGCCGUUUCGGUGUGCACUUGCUACGCCCACCUUGCUGCCGGGGACGUGCUCUUGAGUUCACGCUCGGGACACGGAGUCGGCGAGGUUACUUUGAGUAAAUUAGAGUGUUCAAAGCAGGCCUACGCUCUGAAUACAUUAGCAUGGAAUAACACGAUAGGACUCUGGCCUAUCUUGUUGGUCUGUAGGACCGGAGUAAUGAUUAAGAGGGACAGUCGGGGGCACUCGUAUUUCAUCGUCAGAGGUGAAAUUCUUGGAUUUAUGAAAGACGAACUACUGCGAAAGCAUUUGCCAAGGAUGUUUUCAUUAA
rnacentral:rRNA from 1 species